GCUUGCUCUGCAAAUUCAGCUUCAAGGCAAAUCCACUAAACCUCACACCCAAAGCGAAUGUUUAUUUUACACUCCCUUUCCUUGAGGAAGCUAAGGAGCUUUCACAACCAUGCUGGUCCUUCCCACUAGAUGGUAAACUUCUUCCUUCUUCAGAGGUGAAGAGCUUUCUUCAGUGGCUUCCUUCCCAGUGUCCUGCCUCACAGUGCUCAGGCCCAGAAGCCACAGUGCUGAGUGAAGAAAAAUAUAAAAGUCUUCCUAUCCAGCACAGGCCUGCCUUUCAGCUUCCUGCCUUGGC